UCUGCUUUGACCAGGUUGGGUGGCUGGGGACCCUGUGAGGCACAGGCACCCGUGAUUGAAACCUGUUGCAUUG
rnacentral:pre_miRNA from 1 species